rnacentral:rRNA from 1 species
UACGAGGGGGGCGAGCGUUGUUCGGAAUUAUUGGGCGUAAAGGGUGCGUAGGCGGUUUGAUAAGUCUUGUGUGAAAUCUCUGGGCUCAACCCAGAGUCUGCAUAGGAAACUGUCGGGCUUGAGUAUGGGAGAGGUGAGUGGAAUUUCCGGUGUAGCGGUGAAAUGCGUAGAGAUCCGGAGGAACACCGACGGCGUAGGCAGCGCCCUGGCUGUGAAUAAAGCUGACACUGAGGCACGAAAGCUGGGGGAGCAAACAGG